ACCGAAUCCAGUUUAUCACUCAGACAAGGAGCCCCAGAAUGAGCGCAGAUUCACCCAAGCCCCAAAAGUGUUAUUUCCAGCGACCCAACUAGCCAGUCAGAACAGCCAACCAUCACCACCUUCACGAAUCUAUCAGACCCUCCAACGCCCCAAUUCCCCAAUGUUGUCUUACCCCAAUGUCCCAGCAUCAUUCCCUGGAGAUGAAUUGGUGUUCUCUCCAAUGAAUUUACUCCAGAGGCCAUCUCCUGAAGGUAUGCUUUUAAAAAGAAGCAAUUAAAUUCAGUCAAUUCAAACAUUCAAAUUCGAGCCAAAUGCAGUAUAUCCAGUCAAAUGGUUUAAUUUCUCUUUUCACAGUUGUUUCAGAUUCUUCAGAAACUGCCAGGUUGGCAUUAAAAGGUAAGUACAAUUAAAUCCUAGCGGCCCAGGCUUUUCUUUCCUCAAUGAUUUAAAUCAUUGAAGGAUUUACCACUUAUCAACUGUUAGCUUAAACCAAUGGAGGGAGACAUUGCUAAAAUAAACAACUGUUAAAAAGUUUGUUACCAUCAUUCAUUUUUCCAUUUGGAAUCAUUAUAACCAGCCUCAUGAAAUAAUGGUUUUACAGCAGUCCAAGAGUGGUCCCAUACUAAAAAAAUUUUGGUGAUCCCAAACAUUUGAACAUUAGUGUAUGACAAUGAUAAAAAAAAGAAACAUUACACUGACUGCUCGAAGUAAUUUUUUAGUUCAACAUCUUCUUAAAUUUGUUUGUACAAUUUUCUUUGUCAAUAGAUGUGGCUACUCAAAAACUUCUUACUGCAGUGACAGAGCUGUCCAAGGAGGUGAAGGACCUGUGGGAGGAAUUUAGGCAAUUCCACCAGUCCUGCAGGUGUGGACAAUUGGAGUCUGUGGUACAGCCACUGUCGGAGCCCUUGGAGCUGCCCUUCCACACCAUGGAGGCCCUGGACCAUGCAGAAGAGACACUGUUAAAUGGCACAAACCGACAGGCAAUGGACCUCUGCAAUUCGACUGGGCAUGCUCUCAAUCAACUUCUGGGCCAAAUCCUCACUGAUAGCAACCCAUUCUUUCAUAAUAACUUCUUGGAGUUUGUCAGAAUUAAUGGGUUUUUGUUUGUCCACCCGCCUCUUGAGGAUUGACCACAAGUUCUCAAUGGGAUUAAGAUCUGGGGAGUUUCCAGGCCAUGGACCCAAAAUUUCAACAUUCUGGUCCCCGAGCCACUUAGUUAUCACUUUUGCCUUAUGGCACGGUGCUCCAUCGUGCUGGAAAAUGCAUUGUUCUUCACCAAACUGUUGUUGGAUUGUUGGAAGAAGUUGCUGUUGGAGGGUGUUUUGGUACCAUUCUUUAUUCAUGGCUGUGUUUUUGGGCAGAAUUGUGAGUGAGCUUCGAUGUUCGAUGUUGAUUCAAUUACUUAAUGUUGACAACGGAAUAUUGAUUCAGCAUAGUUUCAAUGACUGUUUGCUAUCUGGGUAUGUACCAGGAGCACCUUAA
ensembl:lncRNA